CCUACGGUGUGCAGCAGUGAGGAAUAUUGGUCAAUGGACGAGAGUCUGAACCAGCCAAGUAGCGUGAAGGAUGACUGCCCUAUGGGUUGUAAACUUCUUUUAUAUGGGAAUAAAAUGUUCCACGUGUGGGAUUUUGUAUGUACCAUAUGAAUAAGGAUCGGCUAACUCCGUGCCAGCAGCCGCGGUAAUACGGAGGAUCCGAGCGUUAUCCGGAUUUAUUGGGUUUAAAGGGAGCGUCGGUGGAUUGUUAAGUCAGGUGUGAAAGUUUGCGGCUCAACCGUAAAAUUGCAGUUGAAACUGGCAGUCUUGAGUACAGUAGAGGUGGGCGGAAUUCGUGGUGUAGCGGUGAAAUGCUUAGAUAGCACGAAGAACUCCGAUUGCGAAGGCAGUUCACUGGACUGCAACUGACGCUGAAGCACGAAAGCGUGGGUAUCGAACAGGAUUAGAUACCCCAGUAGUC
rnacentral:rRNA from 1 species